GAUGAACGCUGGCGGCGUGCCUAAUACAUGCAAGUCGAGCGAACGGACGAGAAGCUUGCUUCUCUGAUGUUAGCGGCGGACGGGUGAGUAACACGUGGAUAACCUACCUAUAAGACUGGGAUAACUUCGGGAAACCGGAGCUAAUACCGUAUAAUAUUUUGAACCGCAUGGUUCAAAAGUGAAAGACGGUCUUGCUGUCACUUAUAGAUGGAUCCGCGCUGCAUUAGCUAGUUGGUAAGGUAACGGCUUACCAAGGCAACGAUGCAUAGCCGACCUGAGAGGCUGAUCGGCCACACUGGAACUGAGCCACGGUCCAGACUCCUACGGGAGGCAGCAGUAGGGAACCUUCGGCAAUGGGCGAAAGCCUGACGGAGCAACGCCGCGUGAGUGAUGAAGGUCUUCGGAUCGUAAAGCUCUGUUAUUAGGGAAGAACAUAUGUGUACGUAACUGUGCACAUCUUGACGGUACCUAAUCAGAAAGCCACGGCUAACUACGUG
rnacentral:rRNA from 1 species